rnacentral:rRNA from 1 species
UGGGGAAUCUUGCGCAAUGGGCGAAAGCCUGACGCAGCCAUGCCGCGUGAAUGAUGAAGUUCUUAGGAUUGUAAAAUUCUUUCACCGGGGACGAUAAUGACGGUACCCGGAGAAGAAGCCCCGGCUAACUUCGUGCCAGCAGCCGCGGUAAUACGAAGGGGGCUAGCGUUGCUCGGAAUUACUGGGCGUAAAGGGCGCGUAGGCGGAUCGUUAAGUCAGAGGUGAAAUCCCAGGGCUCAACCCUGGAACUGCCUUUGAUACUGGCGAUCUUGAGUAUGAGAGAGGUAUGUGGAACUCCGAGUGUAGAGGUGAAAUUCGUAGAUAUUCGGAAGAACACCAGUGGCGAAGGCGACAUACUGGCUCAUUACUGACGCUGAGGCGCGAAAGCGUGGGGAGCAAACAGG